UCGUAAGCUAGGGCUUUGUGGGGGGAGGUGGAAGAGCCCUACACUGGCGCUGCGAGCUCGGCUAUGGCGCCCGAUCGAUCGAGCGGCCAGUCGCGGUCAUUUCAGGUAGUGGCUGCCAUGACGACGACUGGAGCGCGCCAGUGCGCAAAGCUGCUCCAUCGGUAGUGCUCCUCGCUUUUUUCCCCGCUUUCCUCUCUCGCCACUGUUCUUGGGGAGACCGGCCGAUCUGUCGCACACUGUGGCAUCAUAUCUGCGCUGGCGGGCCGACCACUGGAUCCAAUCGAGGUACUUCGCUUUGGAUCUAAGAAAUUUCCGCCAUGGAUUAGGGUUUCUGUGUAGUCGCAGGUCCCCUGUUCGUCGCGAAAGCUCCGUGUUUUUGACCCAGCUCUCCUCUCGCGACUGCAAGCCCUAGGCUGGGCCGGGCUGGGCUAGGCUGGAAAAGCGCGUUUGGGCAGUUUUUGGAUGAGAGUUUUGGGGGGUUUCUGGGCAGAUCCGAUUGUUUAGGGAGGCAGGAGGAUGUCGCAGCUUUCGGCAGAGGAGGCUCAUGUCUACUCGCAGAGCCCAGCGCAUUACGCAGUCGCCAGAUGCGACUAUGGCCUCCUCCGAUCGGUGCUCUCCCGGCUGCCGCGAUUGCCAACCGCGGGAGAGGUGAGCUCCGAGGUGGACUCGCUUCUAGCGGAGCAAAAGGCCGAUAUAGUUUCGUCGGUGAUCGACAACAGGGAAGUUCCUGGGAGGGAGACUCCAUUGCAUUUGGCGGUGAGGCUCGGGAAUGCGAGGGCGGUGGAGAUGCUAGCGGCAGCCGGGGCGGACUGUAGUUUGCAGAAUGGUCGGGGAUGGAGUGCGCUCCAGGAGGCCGUGUGUGCUCGCAAGGAAGCUAUUGCGAUGGUCAUCACCAAGUACUAUCAGCCCAUGGCGUGGUCGAAGUGGUGUCGGCGGCUGCCACGGAUUGUAGCGGAGCUCAACAGGAUGAAGGAUUUCUACAUGGAGCUCACGUUUCAUUUCGAGAGCUCGGUCAUCCCGUUUAUCGGGAGGAUUGCUCCGUCGGACACUUACAAGAUAUGGAAGCGUGGUUCCAAUCUGAGAGCGGACAUGACACUGGCUGGCUUCGACUCGUUCAAGAUCCAGAGGUCGGAUCGGAGCUACUUGUUCUUGGGAAAAGAGAAUAUGGGAUCUGGAGAGCUCUUGGUGCUGAUGCACAAGAAGAAGGAGGUGGUGAAUGCGUUUGAAGAUGCCGCGGUACAGCCGUCGGACGCAGAGGUGGCCCACGAGGUGGCUGUGAUGUCUCGGGCGAAUGUCUAUCGGCCAGGUUUGGAUGUAACUCAAGCGCAGCUGGUUCCGCAGUUGACGUGGAGGAAACACGAGAAGGCGGAGACAGUGGGGAACUGGAAGUGCAAGGUGUAUGACAUGCAAAACGUGUCCGUUAGUAUCAGAUCUAGAAAGGUGCUGGGGGCAGUGGAGGAAGACGAAGAAGAGGAAACUUUAGAUUAUGCCAACUUGCUAACGGAGGAGGAGAAACAUCAGCUGGAGAUGGUUUUGAGUGGCGAUUGCGAGAACUUAGAAGAACAGAAAGAGAACUCGGCUUGUGUCAAUGGUCGAGGUGGGAGGCCGAAAGCCGAAAAGUCCAGGCCUAUAAGCGGUAAGGAAGAGGACGAUUCCAAAAAGUCUAGCGCAAAGGAAGAGGAGAGCGAGUUCAAGAAGGGACUUAGACCCACUCUUUGGGUGACAGAUAAUUUUCCUCUCAAGAUCGAGGAGCUUCUUCCACUGCUUGACAUUUUGUCAAGCAAAGUCAAGGCCGUCCGGAGGCUUAGAGAGUUGCUGACUACGAAACUGCCAGCGGGAACUUUUCCUGUCAAGAUGUCCAUUCCGGUGGUGCCGACGAUUAGAGUCAUCGUCACGUUUUCCAAGUUCCAAGAGCGGCACGCGAUGCAGAACAACCUGAAACCCGAGCAUACUGGAUCCUGGUUUUCUUGGAUGAAAAGUUCGAAUCCUAGUUCCGAGCAUGCGGACCCGUUCCUGGUUCCAGGCGAUUAUACGUGGAAGAAAGGGAAGCAAGUGAUCGUCCCAUAGAAGAAUGGUCGUUUUCAGGCACACUACUAAUACAUAUAUAAGAAAUUGUAAAUCAGACAAAAUGAAAAACUGGCACCAUCGACAUAAGACUCUUGCCUGGAAGAGCCUAAGUUACCGCAAUGCUUUCUUGGAUUGCAGAGUUGACGUUACGCUCAUCUCAGUUUAAUGGCUUCAGUUCGAAAACUAGACCACUAACAGGAUGAUGAUGGCGAAGAAAGUGUUGCCGUUCCCUGGAAGUUUUGCUGUACUCGAGUAACAUCUCCGCAGUACUUCCUCGCCAAACUUUUCUGGUUGCGGUUGGAAACACCGAGAAGCAAAUGACGGAGCUUCACCCUUUUUCCUCUUCGCCUCAUCUCUUCCGGAAAUUCUCUGCUCGAGCUGACAGGCCAAUAAAAAAAGCAUGGAACAGAAAAAGAAAGCAAAUCCAAGCAACAAGCAGCUCGCUCUCAGAUGCCCAGCAACAGACAGAAUUUGUCCAUUUAAAC